UCUUAAACCCGAUUGUAGUGUAAAUCCUUUUUGUUUUAGAUGUUUUUAUUACCUAUUGAUAGAUUUACAAAAAGAUUGUAACGGAAAGCGGGAGUAACG
rfam:Spinacia oleracea cultivar SynViroflay scaffold95477.con0002.1, whole genome shotgun sequence.